rnacentral:rRNA from 1 species
GACGUAGGGUCCAAGCGUUGUCCGGAUUUACUGGGCGUAAAGAGCGCGUAGGCGGUCUGUUAAGUGUAGAGUGAAAUCUCUGGGCUCACCCCAGAAACUGCUCUGCAUACUGGCAGACUUGAGGGAUGCAGAGGUUUGUGGAAUUCCUGGUGUAGCGGUGAAAUGCGCAGAUAUCAGGAGGAACACCGGUGGCGAAGGCGGAUCUCUGGGCCAUUACUGACGCUGAGGAGCGAAAGCGUGGGGAGCGAACAGG